CUCUCCUCAGGCAUCAUCAUCCUGGAGCUGCUCUUGCUCAUGGCUUCUUCCCCCAUCACAUCACUGGCCAGUAAUGCCUUGAGGAGGGGACAGUGACACUGAGCCCAAGAAAUACUGUCAGCCACAUUUCCCAGAGGGCCUCUUUCAAAUCCUUGAUGAAGAGACUGGUGCAUGGUUUGUGCCUGUGGUAUCCCAUGAUUGGAGCUCUUGGACAUUCUCACCAGCAAAACCAUCCUCUCCACUGGGGACUGUGGACAGUGCAACACAUAUGGGAUUUGCUGCAGGACGGUCCUUUCUGUUCAUCGUGUGGGAUUGGUCUCUGCUGCCCCUUUCAGGGAACAUCUGUAAGCAC